GGUUCUCAUAUCACCUGGUUCUGACUCUGACCCCGCUCUUGGAUUCCCCUCUGGCUUGUCUUUGGAUCUCGGACCACCCGGCGCUGACUCUGGAGCAAGUCUCGGAUUCUGUAUUCUGGAUGUUCCCUUGAUAUUUCUGCCUCUGCUUUCAUGGAUCUGACCCUGUGCAAUACCCUGGACCAAUGAGUCAUUUUCAAAGAAGGAUUCCUCCAAACCAACCAGGACAGAUUCAGGAAUCUGUUCACCAGGGACGUCACACGCCAGCCAGCUUCUUCAGAAACUCUCAAACCCUCGGGACAUCAGCGUCUCGGACUCUCUGAGCAGCACCCACCACGCCGCCUUGGCAGCCGACCGGCUGAAACCAACCUCACCCUCUAGGCAUGGACCGGACUUACUUUAAGACCAGUGAAAUCAUUUACACAUACCGAUCUUUGAUGAUGAGGAGGAGAUGCAUAUCACUGACCAAUCAUGCAAGGAAUAGAGUGGACUCACACCAUCUGCAGCGAGAAAGGAGGAGAAGC